rnacentral:rRNA from 1 species
AUUGAACGCUGGCGGCAGGCCUAACACAUGCAAGUCGAGCGAGCGGCGGACGGGUGAGUAAUGUAUGGGGACUGCCCGAUAGAGGGGGAUAACUACUGGAAACGGUAUCUCAUACCGCAUACUAUCGUCGAACCCAUAGUGGAUUAGCUCGUAGGUGAGUUAAUGGCUCACCUAGGCGACGAUCCCUAGCUGGUCUGAGAGGAUGAUCAGCCACACUGGGACUGAGACACGGCCAAGAUUCUUACGGAGGCAGCAGUGGGGAAUAUUGCACAAUGGGCGCAAGCCUGUUGCAGCCAUGCCUCGUGUAUGAAGAAGGCCCUAGGGUUGUAAAGUACUUUCAGUCGGGAGGCGUUCCCGACAGAAGAAGCACCGGCUAACUCCGUGCCAGCAGCCGCGGUAAUAC